GACGAACGCUGGCGGCGUGCCUAAUACAUGCAAGUCGAACGAGUGGCGGACGGGUGAGUAACGCGUGGUAACCUGCCUCAUAGCGGGGGAUAACUAUUGGAAACGAUAGCUAAUACCGCAUACUGUGAGAUGGACCUGCGUUGUAUUAGAUAGUUGGUGAGGUAAAGGCUCACCAAGGCGACGAUCCCUAGCGGGUCUGAGGGGAUGACCAGCCACCCUGCACCUGAGACCCGGUCCAGACUCCUACGGGAGGCAGCAGUGGGGAAUAUUGCACAAUGGGCGCAAGCCUGAUGCAGCCAUGCCGCGUGUAUGAAGAAGGCCUUCGGGUUUUAAAGUACUUUCAGCGGGGAGGCGUUACCCGCAGAAGAAGCACCGGCUAACUCCGUGCCAGCAGCCGCGGUAAUAC
rnacentral:rRNA from 1 species